rnacentral:rRNA from 1 species
AACGAACGCUGGCGGCAGGCUUAACACAUGCAAGUCGAACGCCCCGCAAGGGGAGUGGCAGACGGGUGAGUAACGCGUGGGAAUCUACCUAGUUCUACGGAACAACAGUUGGAAACGACUGCUAAUACCGUAUACGCCCUAUGGGGGAAAGAUUUAUCGGAAUUAGAUGAGCCCGCGUAAGAUUAGCUAGUUGGUGAGGUAAUGGCUCACCAAGGCGACGAUCUUUAGCUGGUCUGAGAGGAUGAUCAGCCACACUGGGACUGAGACACGGCCCAGACUCCUACGGGAGGCAGCAGUGGGGAAUAUUGGACAAUGGGCGCAAGCCUGAUCCAGCCAUGCCGCGUGAGUGAUGAAGGCCUUAGGGUUGUAAAGCUCUUUCAGUAGGGAAGAUAAUGACGGUACCUACAGAAGAAGCCCCGGCUAACUUCGUGCCAGCCGCCGCAGUAACAC